AUAAUGUAGGUAAGCGAAUUCGGCAAAUUAGAUCCGUAACUUCGGGAUAAGGCUUGGCUGUGAAGAUUAAGAUAGUCGGGCUUGAGAUUGGGAAGCAAUAAUAGGGUUUAUGUACUCGUUCUGAGUAAAUAGAGAUUUUCGGAUCUUGUUCCUCGGAUAGCAGUUACGUAACCAAUUGUGGAACUUUCUUGCUAAAAUUUUUAAGGGAUUAUCGCAAGAUAUAUUCUUUUUAAAUUAUAACGAUUAUCAAUUAACAAUCAAUUCAGAAAUGACACGAACUUCGAGAAUCCGACUGUCUAAUUAAAACAAAGCAUUGUGAUGGCCCUAACGGGUGUUGACACAAUGUGAUUUCUGCCCAGUAGUCUGAAUGUCAAAGUGAAGAAAUUCAAGUAAGCGCGGGUAUACGGCGAGAGUAACUAUGACUCUCUUACGAUCUUUCGCAACUUCCUUGUCCCAAAAUAUAUUGCUGUGUUGCAAACUCCAAAUUUUACAAGGAAGUCGCUUAAAAAAGCGGACCGGAAAAUUAGGGCCUGCGUACGUCAAAUCCUUCAUCUGCCGGCUCAUUGUCAUAAUUCGGUUGUAUAUGCGCCGGUACGAGAGGGAGGGCUCGGCAUCUUUGGAUUCAGGGACCGGAUACCCGCUAUUAUGGUGGAGGGACUCAUAUCGAUUGACUCCACCUUCGCCACCAUAACGGGGGUGAGCGGUCAAUGGAUCCAAAUAAUCCGAAGUAUGGUAACACAUAGCUCGAAGCAAACGUACCAUCAGCAUCAUGCGGUGUCACUGAACGUCUCCUUCUCCGGCUGCGGGGGCCUGAGGCAAUUAAGCGCGAAUCUGCAUAGCAACAGGUGGGUUUAUCGCCCACCGAUGUAUUGGAGCGGGGAAGACUAUGUGAAGGCAAUCCACCUCCGCUUCGAUCUCUUGCCUUGCAGAGCAAUUCCGAGUAACGCAAGGGGUGCUCGGAGUUGCAGGGGUGAAAAUUGCCAAAGGCAAGAAUCGAAUUGCCAUGUACUACAGGCUUGCUUAACAACGCAUGCUGAACGCAAUGCGCGCCACAAUGUAGUGCAAAAAAUAAGUCGAGACUACAGCAAGGCGUAAUGGCUGAGAGACAUCUGUUGAGCGAUAUAUCACUGGCAGGGAUGGACUCCUGCUCAAGCCGGAUCUCAUCCUAACCAAGGGAGACCGCGUCAUUGUCUGUGACGUAGGCAUCCACUGGGAGGGACAGGAACCCUUGAGUAGGUUCCACAACGAAAAAGUCUGCCGUUACUCGUCGGACGCCUUCUUAGGGAAGUUGACGGAGCUGUACUCAGGCAAGUCAAUCUCCAUCCUUCCCUGUAUAGUGGGCGCUCGAGAGGCAUGGUAUGCGCGAAACGAUGCACUCACAGCCGCAAUUGGACUUGGGCCGCACGCAACAGAGAAUAUCAUAACCGGUGUUAUAAAGGGGUGAAUUAUAAUCCACUCGACUUUUAUGAGUUGAGUGUGGGAGCCAUAUAUUACAGGCAGGGUAACGACGGCCCAAGACCCCAUCGAAAUUAGGAGUUACGCUCCUCCUUGUUGUUUUUACGGUACUGCAACUAUAUAUCGGGCUACGCACUCAUGUGCACGCAGUGGUGGCAAAAUAAGAAAAAGGUAGGAUCACCGACUAGUAUUUAUAUAUUUAAAUAUUGUGCAUAAUGAGGAACUAAUCUGUAUAUGUAAUGUAGUAAUUAAGUAAAAAUCAAUAAAGAGGUAUUUAAAUAGCCAAAUGCCUCGUCAUCUAAUUAGUGACGCGCAUGAAUGGAUUAACGAAAUUCUUUCUGGCCCCAUCUACUC
rnacentral:ncRNA from 1 species